rnacentral:lncRNA from 1 species
AUCUCACCAGCCCCGGCCCAUAUCUUUUAACUGACGACGACCAUAGGCCACUCAUUCACUUUCUAGGGAAAUUCUCGGGCUUUGUUUUUUGAGAUGGUCUGUUCAAGACUGUCCUUCUGACUGGCCUUGAACUCAUGACUCUUCAGCCUUAGCAUCGCAAGUGCUGAGAUCGCUGACAUGUGCUACCACAUCCAGCUUGGGAGAAGGGUUUACCUGACAUAGCUUUUCACAGUAACCCAUCGUGCAGCUUGGCUUAGGCCUCUGGUGCUCUUGGGUGAUGUGGAGUCUGCUGUUAAGCAUUUGGGCUUCAAGAGUGCGGCAAGUUUUCUUCUACACCAUUCUAGCCUUGGGACCUUAGGCAAAUUAUUUAGUUGCUGGUGAAGUCUUCUUUUGCAAAAUGGUACGUUUAGUAGUAGUUUUAAUAUUAUUAUUUUGUUAGGACCUGCAUUUGAAUGCAGUAUUUUACAAGUACCAAACAAGCAAACAAGCAAGCAAUAGUCUUACCAUCAAGAUACAUCCCCAGCAAUUUAUAUUCUCCUUCACCUCUAUUUUGAGACACAGUUUUACUGUGUAUCUCUGUGUAUUUUGAAACUUACUAUGUAGACCAUACUGGGCUCGAACAGUCAGAAAUCUGCCUGCCUCUGCCUCCUGUGUGCUGGGAUUAAAGACGUGGAGCACCACUGGUUAAUUACUAUUCUGUUUUUCUUUUUAAAGAUUUAUUUUAUGUAUAUGAGUCCACUGUAGGUGUGUUCAGACACACCAGAAGAGGGCAUCGGAUCCCAUUAGAGAUGGUUGUGAGCCACCAUGUGGUUGCUGGGAAUUGAACUCAGGACCUCUGGAAGAGCUGUCAGUGUUCUUAACUACUGAGCCAUCUCUCCAGCCCUAAUUAAUAUUCUUAACGGGACUAUUAAAACCUAGAAUAAUCUAUCUCAGUUGUGAGGAUGAGAGGAAAGAUGUGUAAGCUGCCUGAAUGUCCCAUCUGUAUUGGCAGUUACUACUGGUUUCUCAACCCCAUCAUGUCUUUCGUUAGCUUUCCAUCCCUUCUUCAGGACCGUUAAGAUAAUGGUACCAUGUAACAUACACUUUCUGCUCUCUGCGCAAGUGUAUUCUCAGAAUAACUGAAGAAAAGUAGAUCCAGCAACUGUUCUCAGUGCUCUUCAGACUGUCCUGGAUAGAACAGAAUUCCUAUCAUGAAGACCAGGCCAUGAAUUCAUAGCUAUUGUUUAUUUAUUGUUAUUCUCUUACUUCCAGUACCCAGUGAUUUGUUCAGUGCCGUGACCAAAUACCGGUGAGAGACAGUGAAAGGGAGAGAGAGAUUACUUUUGCUCACCUUUCAGAGGUAUAGCCUGUCAUGCUGGGGAAGGGAUGCCGUGUUUGUGGCUGGGUGGUUGUAUGGUUAGAGCUCCUCACAUUUUGAUAGGCCAAGAUGUGGAGAAAGUGGAAUGCCGGCUCUUGUGUUUUCUAGGUGGUCAAGUCAACUUGACAAUGAGACGAACCAUCACAGCUGGUUAGAGUGAAUCUUUUUUUUUUUUUUUUUUUUGCAAAACCAUACUGCCCCAUAUUAGAAUUUUGUACCAGGAAGUCAGGUUUCAGAAGCUCAGCUCUGCUACUAAGCCUGACAUUUAGUAUCAGGGUGUAGGAUGGGGAUUGAAAGUACUUUAUUAGCGUCUCCUAAAUGUGGGGAUUCUAAAGCUCUCUAGGUGGCCUGACUAUAGUUCUAGCUUUUUAUUGUAAUGUAAACACUACAUAUCAGUGCCAUGUUUUAUCACACACACACAUACACAUACACACACACACACACACACACACACACACACACACACUGCAUUCUUCAUGUCAUGAGAAUGAACACCCUGCCAGAGAUAGCAAUGACUUGUGAGUUAACCCUCAUGUGCCCUUUCAAGUGACGCCCAGUUAGGCUUUGGCCUGUACCACCCACAUCACCGAAGGAUUGGGCCACUCAUCUCUGUGAAUGAGUGAUGGACUGACUGGCUUCUCUGGUACUUAAAUGAGAUGUGCUGUGCACUUGUAUCUCAAUAUGGCUGGCUGACAUGGAAGGCACUGGCUGCCAUAGCUCACCAGCUCACCACGGUCUCCCUUAACCCUGGCAGAAAAGGCAUCACAGUUCAUGCAAGGCUGGAGGCAUAAAGAACCUUGCUCCUGGGUUGCCAUGUAGAAGGUGUGCCGAAGACCCUGUACUUUGUCCUCUGGAACCCUAUCAUCUCUAGGAAUCUUACUCCCUAUGAUUCCAAGUGCAACCUCCAAGGGCCAAUCAUUGUAAGAGUAGCAUGGCCUUGGACAAACUUGUGUCUUCACAGAGUCUUUCAGGUGCCUGCAUGGUGUAUGAGACUCCCGUAACCCAUACUUGGGUUUGGUAGUCAAGAAAGGGGCCUGUGAUGUGGCAUGUACCUUGAGCAAUCUCCCCCUUGAUGCUUCCUGUUUGAUAAUGACAUUUUGAGUCACAAGGAUCCGCCCAUUUCAAGUUUUUUUUUCUUUUAAGUCAAUUCUGUGCUUAAACAUUAAAUAUACUAUUUAAGAAGGGG